CUGCACAACGGAAACUGCUCUUCUUCCUUCCAAGGAGAAUGAGUAUUCCUUUGGUGCUAUAAAACAAGGAGUUUUCAGGGCCACUGGCCUUGAAGUACAGGCUGUGCGGUAGUAUAUUUCUCCAACAUGA